rnacentral:rRNA from 1 species
AUGCAGGCGGUGGCGGGCAUCCGGCGGGGGCUGACCAUAGACCCGGCCGGGGAGGAGGAGGCGCCGGCGCAGCGGUUCGGGCGGCUGGUCAGGGAGAGCCCCGUGGUCAUCUUCGCGCGGCGCGGCUGCUACAUGGCGCACGUCAUGAAGAGCCUCCUCGCGGCCGUCGGCGCGCACGCCACAGUCAUCGAGCUGGAGGGCCCCGCCGAGGAGCUCGCGGCGGUGGAGGCCGGCGGCCACGCGGCCGUGCCGGCGCUCUUCGUCGGGGGCGCGCCGGUGGGCGGCCUGGAGGGCCUCAUGGGGCUCCACCUCAGCGGCCUCCUCGUCCCACGCCUCCGAGAGGUCGGAGCCCUCCGCGCCUAG